rnacentral:rRNA from 1 species
AACGAACGCUGGCGGCAUGCCUAACACAUGCAAGUCGAACGAGACCUUCGGGUCUAGUGGCGCACGGGUGCGUAACGCGUGGGAACCUGCCCUUAGGUUCGGAAUAACUCCCCGAAAGGGGUGCUAAUACCGGAUAAUGUCUUCGGACCAAAGAUUUAUCGCCUUUGGAUGGGCCCGCGUUGGAUUAGCUAGUUGGUAGGGUAAAAGCCUACCAAGGCGACGAUCCAUAGCUGGUCUGAGAGGAUGGUCAGCCACACUGGGACUGAGACACGGCCCAGACUCCUACGGGAGGCAGCAGUGGGGAAUAUUGGAAAAUGGGCGAAAGCCUGAUCCAGCAAUGCCGCGUGAGUGAUGAAGGCCUUAGGGUUGUAAAGCUCUUUUACCCGGGAUGAUAAUGACAGUACCGAGAGAAUAAGCUCCGGCUAACUCCGUG